UUCCUUUUGUUUGGCUGCCUUCGGAAAAAAUUUUUGUUAUCGGUAAGCGCGAAUAUUCGAUCGAAUCUCUCUAAAUUUGCUGCUAGAGCAGAGCAAUCAUCUCGCCGGAAUUAAAAUAAUAAAAAUAAAAACCCGAGGACAUUACUGUUUGUACCAGGUUUUACCAGUGGUUUUACUAUUGGGGCCCUCAUAGUGUUACUGCACGCAGCGAAAAGUAGUGCCAUUGAGAUAAAAAAAAUACAUCUUUGAUUCAAAAACCUCAUGUACAUUGAAACAAAAUCCAUUUUCCUUAAUUCAAGUAAAUUUUAAAUUGAACCGAAUUUUUAUUUCAUUAAACCAAUGUUCCAAAUUUUUGAAUCAAAAGAUUUAAAUUAAAUUCAAGAAAUUUUUUUUUCGACUCUGAAUCAAUGUAAAAAUUCAUUGAUUUAGAUGAAUUUUCUUUUGAAUCAAAGUAUUUUUUCGUCAAACAGUCGACACAUCUUCAUUAGCUUCUGUUUAGUGAACGGGUCGGGCGAGAAGUUUUUCCGACAACCAGUCAGACCAUUUCAUCUCAUGCCGCGCAACAGUCAGACAGCACCGAAAUCACAAGAUCCGGCGUAGGAAAGUCUUGACAACUAGAAGCCAAACGAUAGUGGACUCCUAGGGCAACCAUUCAUCCAACUAAUCGCUUCCGAUCCGGUCCAAGGAUCCAUCUGGCGUCUAAACCCUUCAUGAAUUGUUCGAAAGUAACUGUCCGCCAACAAACAUCGUUCAAUGUGCCGGUUCAAAACUCUGGAAAAAUCGACUGUGUGAACAUGAACUUACAAAU